AAAAGGACUGCUAAGGUGCCAGGGGUCACCAAAUCAAAGUUCAUGAAGCAUAUAUAUUUAUAUAUGUAAGUUGAGGAUCAGGUUAGAGUUGCUCACUUCACAGUGGAGACACAAACAGAUAUCUGAGAGGACAGAAAACAACUUAUCAGUCACAUCGAAGGCCAUUGAAAUCAAUUGCCAGAGUUGAUGCCAUGGG